rnacentral:rRNA from 1 species
UACAGAGGUCUCAAGCGUUGUUCGGAUUCAUUGGGCGUAAAGGGCGCGUAGGCGGCCUUCUAAGUCGAACGUGAAAUCCCCGGGCUCAACCCGGGAACUGCGUCCGAUACUGGGAGGCUUGAAUCCGGGAGAGGGAUGUGGAAUUCCAGGUGUAGCGGUGAAAUGCGUAGAUAUCUGGAGGAACACCGGUGGCGAAGGCGGCGAUCCUGGACCGGUAUUGACGCGUGAGGCGCGGAAAGCUAGGGGAGCAAACGGGG